rnacentral:rRNA from 1 species
GACGAACGCUGGCGGCGUGCCUAAUACAUGCAAGUAGAACGCUGAAGCGAGGAGCUUGCUCUUCUUGGAUGAGUUGCGAACGGGUGAGUAACGCGUAGGUAACCUGCCUUGUAGCGGGGGAUAACUAUUGGAAACGAUAGCUAAUACCGCAUAACAAUGUAUGACACAUGUCAUUUAUUUGAAAGGGGCAAUUGUUCCACUACAAGAUGGACCUGCGUUGUAUUAGCUAGUAGGUGAGGUAAUGGCUCACCUAGGCGACGAUACAUAGCCGACCUGAGAGGGUGAGCGGCCACACUGGGACUGGGACACGGCCCAGACUCCUACGGGAGGCAGCAGGAGGGAAUCUUCGGCAAUGGGGGCAACCGUGACCGAGCAACGCCGCGUGAGUGAAGAAGGUUGUCGGAUCGUAAAGCUCUGUUGUAAGUCAAGAAUGGGUGGGAGAGUGGAAAGUUCACACUGUGACGGUAGCUUACCUGAAAGGGACGGCUAACUACGUG